rnacentral:rRNA from 1 species
AGUGAACGCUGGCGGUAGGCCUAACACAUGCAAGUCGAACGGCAGCACAGUAAGGGCUUGCUCUUACGGGUGGCGAGUGGCGGACGGGUGAGGAAUACAUCGGAAUCUACUUUUUCGUGGGGGAUAACGUAGGGAAACUUACGCUAAUACCGCACACGACCUACGGGUGAAAGCAGGGGAUCUUCGGACCUUGCGCGAUUGAAUGAGCCGAUGUCGGAUUAGCUAGUUGGCGGGGUAAAGGCCCACCAAGGCGACGAUCCGUAGCUGGUCUGAGAGGAUGAUCAGCCACACUGGAACUGAGACACGGUCCAGACUCCUACGGGAGGCAGCAGUGGGGAAUAUUGGACAAUGGGCGCAAGCCUGAUCCAGCCAUACCGCGUGGGUGAAGAAGGCCUUCGGGUUGUAAAGCCCUUUUGUUGGGAAAGAAAAGCAGCAGGUUAAUACCCCGCUGUUCUGACGGUACCCAAAGAAUAAGCACCGGCUAACUUCGUG